GGCAACGGGGGAGCAAGGACAGAAGAAAGAGGUGCAGAAGGAGGAAGAGGAACAAGCAGGAAGGCGCCAGCGGAGGAGACGUGAAAAGAAGCAGGAGGAGACCGGCUCUCCAGGAGCUUAGCAGAAGAAACGGGCAGGCUGUGCUUCCACCGGGCGGACGGCUUCAUUUCGCUCCCUCUCUCGGCCACUGAUCACUCUGCGUGGGGCUGCAGCUGGCCCUGCAGCGUGGCAUUCCUGGUGCUGGACUUCAUGUCUUUGCACUCAGGAGCCCUGACAGGGGUGGGAGUGCGGCCUUCUCAGGCCGCCCUGAAUCUCUCUGCACCGAGUCCCUUGCCAUUGGGUGGGAGGUGGCUUGCUCCUGCUGGACCUGAAGUAUGUGCGCUGAGCCGCCCCUGGAUGGGACUGGGGGUAUUGCUUUUUCGCGCCACUGCUUUCUGUAUGUGCGCUGAGCUGCCCCUGGGUAGGCUGGCCUGGGGGUGUUGCUUCCUCGCGCCGAGCCUUAGAGGUAUGUGCGCUGAGCCGCCCCUGGUCGGGGCUGGGGGCGUUAGCUUUCUCACGCCGAGCUUGAUGCCAUGUGCGCUGAGCCUGCCCCUGGCUGGGCUCAGCUUGGGGGUGUUGCUUCCUCUCGCGCCGAGCCUUCGGGUAUGUGCGCUGAGCCGCCCCGGGCUGGGGCUGGGAGCGUUGCUUUGUGCUGCCAGGCCUUAUGUCUCUGCACUGAGCCGCCCCAGUGAGGGCUGGGGGCGUUGCUUCCUCUCGCCACGAGCUUCACGUCUUUGCUCUGAGAAGCCCCUCAUUUGGCCAGGGGGUGGCUCUCUCCAAGCCUUGCUGCCUGACUUUGCCCUUCAUGCUCCCAGUGGUGUUGAGCUGGCCACUCCGGCCUGCCCACGGAGCAAGCUCGGGACGGUAGAAGUGUGGCCUCCCGGACCCCUUCCAGCAGCAGCAGCAGCCGCCUCUGCUGGCUGAAGGCACACGCCUGACGCUUGGUGUGCUCACGCUCCUCCUUGGCUUGGGCUCUUGCGUGAGCAGGGCUGCUCCUCAAGAAGGCCUUCUGAAGAGGGAAAAGAGUCAAGAGCUGCGAGAAGCUGAUCUCUUGCCAUGGGAGGCAAAGGAGAGAAAGGGCAGAAGAAAGAAGUGCCGCAGGCUGGCGAAAGAGAAGCCGCAAGGAGCAACAGGAGGAGACCUGGACGGGGAAGAAGGAGGCGGAGAAGACUGGCUCUCAAGCAGCUUCACAGAAGGAAGAAGGGGGAGAUUCCGCUCCCACCAGCUGGAGGGCCUCAUUGCUGCCCUUCUCUCUGCUCUGUCUCCCUGAGUAGCCACUGGUUUGGGAGGGGCGUGGACAGAACAGGAUGGACUCGGUGUCCAUCCGCUCAGUGGCCCUUUCUGGAACUGGGCUGUGGCUUUCUCGUGCUGGACUUCAUGUCUCUGCACUUGGGGAGCCCUACAAAUAGUGAGAGGGUGGCCCUCAUAGGGGCCAUCCAAGGGGCAGCCCCUAUUUCAGCUGAGCUGUGGCUUUCUCGGGCUGGACUUUAUGUCUUUGCACUGGGGAGCCCUACGACUGUGGGAGCGUGGCCUUCUUGGUGUCUGUAUACUGGAGAAGCCCGGAUUGGUCUGGGGAGUGGCCUUCUCGUGCUGGACUUUACGUCUUUGCACUGGGGAGCCCUACAAAUAGUGAGAGGGUGGCCCUCAUAGGGGACAUCCAAGGGGCAGCCCCUAUUUCAGCUGAGGUGUGGCUUUCUCGGGCUGGACUUUAUGUCUUUGCACUGGGGAGCCCUACGACUGUGGGAAGUGUCUGUAUACUGGAGAACUCCUGAUUUGUCUGGGGGCGUGUUUCUCGUGCUGGACUUCACGUCUCUGCACUGGGGAGCCCUACAAAUAGUGAGAGGGUGGCCCUCGUACACGGAGCAGCCCCCAUUUCAGCUGAGGUGUGGCUUUCUCGUGCUGGACUUCACGUCUUUGCACUGCGGAGCCCUACAAUUGUGGGAGCGUGGCCUCUUUUUGAUUAUUAUUAUUUUGACAUUUCUAGCCCGCUCUUCUUCCCAGGAGCCCAAAGCGGUGUACUGCAUACUUGUUUCCCCCCCGUCCCACAACAACCCUGUGAGUAGGUUAGGCUGAGAGAGAAGCGACUGGCCCAGAGUCACCCAGCUAGUAGCAUGGCUGAAUGGGGAUUUGGACUCGAGUCUCCCCGGUCCUAGUAAACUAGGGAACCCCUGAUUUGGCUGUGGUGCCGGUUUCACGUGCUGGACUUCACGUCUUUGCACUGGGGAGCCCUACAAUGGUAAGAGUAUGGCCAUCGUAGUGGCUGUAUACUGGGGAACCCCGAUUUGGCCGGAGAGCGGCUUUCUCAUGCUGGACUUCACGUCCUGGCACUGGGGAGCCCCAAAAGAGGUGGGAGUAUGUCCUCCUCAGACGAGCCUGAGUGUCUGUAUGCUGCGUGGCUGCUCGUUUAUCCGCAGGGUGCCGUUCCUCGCUGCGUGACUUUGCCCUUCAUCUUGCAAGUGGUGAUGAGUUGGCAUCUCCCAACUGCCCCGUCCCUAGUCUUCAGCUUGGCGCGCCCUGCCCACGGAGAAAGCCAGGGACGGUGGAAGUGCGGCAUCCAUGACCUCUUCAAGCAGCGUGGUGUGCCGAGGAGCGGGCCCUGCUGGCUGGCUGAAGAAGGCACACGAAGGCAACGGGGGAGCAAGGACAGAAGAAAGAGGUGCAGAAGGAGGAAGAGGAACAAGCAGGAAGGCGCCAGCGGAGGAGACGUGAAAAGAAGCAGGAGGAGACCGGCUCUCCAGGAGCUUAGCAGAAGAAACGGGCAGGCUGUGCUUCCACCGGGCGGACGGCUUCAUUUCGCUCCCUCUCUCGGCCACUGAUCACUCUGCGUGGGGCUGCAGCUGGCCCUGCAGCGUGGCAUUCCUGGUGCUGGACUUCAUGUCUUUGCACUCAGGAGCCCUGACGGGUGGGAGUGCGGCCUCCUCAGGCCGCCCUGAAUCUCUCUGCACCGAGUCCCUUGCCAUUGGGUGGGAGGUGGCUUGCUCCUGCUGGACCUGAAGUAUGUGUGCUGAGCCGCCCCUGGAUGGGACUGGGGGUAUUGCUUUUUCGCGCCACUGCUUUCUGUAUGUGCGCUGAGCUGCCCCUGGGUAGGCUGGCCUGGGGGUGUUGCUUCCUCGUGCCGAGCCUUAGAGGUAUGUGCGCUGAGCCGCCCCUGGUCGGGGCUGGGGGCGUUAGCUUUCUCACGCCGAGCUUGAUGCCAUGUGCGCUGAGCCUGCCCCUGGCUGGGCUCAGCUUGGGGGUGUUGCUUCCUCUCGCGCCGAGCCUUCGGGUAUGUGCGCUGAGCCGCCCCGGGCUGGGGCUGGGAGCGUUGCUUUGUGCUGCCAGGCCUUAUGUCUCUGCACUGAGCCGCCCCAGUGAGGGCUGGGGGCGUUGCUUCCUCUCGCCACGAGCUUCACGUCUUUGCUCUGAGAAGCCCCUCAUUUGGCCAGGGGGUGGCUCUCUCCAAGCCUUGCUGCCUGACUUUGCCCUUCAUGCUCCCAGUGGUGUUGAGCUGGCCACUCCGGCCUGCCCACGGAGCAAGCUCGGGACGGUAGAAGUGUGGCCUCCCGGACCUCUUCCAGCAGCAGCAGCAGCCGCCUCUGCUGGCUGAAGGCACACGCCUGACGCUUGGUGUGCUCACGCUCCUCCUUGGCUUGGGCUCUUGCGUGAGCAGGGCUGCUCCUCAAGAAGGCCUUCUGAAGAGGGAAAAGAGUCAAGAGCUGCGAGAAGCUGAUCUCUUGCCUUGGGAGGCAAAGGAGAGAAAGGGCAGAAGAAAGAAGUGCCGCAGGCUGGCGAAAGAGAAGCCGCAAGGAGCAACAGGAGGAGACCUGGACGGGGAAGAAGGAGGCGGAGAAGACUGGCUCUCAAGCAGCUUCACAGAAGGAAGAAGGGGGAGAUUCCGCUCCCACCAGCUGGAGGGCCUCAUUGCUGCCCUUCUCUCUGCUCUGUCUCCCUGAGUAGCCACUGGUUUGGGAGGGGCGUGGACAGAACAGGAUGGACUCGGUGUCCAUCCGCUCAGUGGCCCUUUCUGGAACUGGGCUGCGGCUUUCUCGUGCUGGACUUCAUGUCUCUGCACUGGGGAGCCCUACAAAUAGUGAGAGGGUGGCCCUCAUAGGGGCCAUCCAAGGGGCAGCCCCUAUUUCAGCUGAGCUGUGGCUUUCUCGGGCUGGACUUUAUGUCUUUGCACUGGGGAGCCCUACGACUGUGGGAGCGUGGCCUUCUUGGUGUCUGUAUACUGGAGAAGCCCGGAUUGGUCUGGGGAGUGGCCUUCUCGUGCUGGACUUUACGUCUUUGCACUGGGGAGCCCUACAAAUAGUGAGAGGGUGGCCCUCAUAGGGGGCAGCCCCUAUUUCAGCUGAGGUGUGGCUUUCUAGGGCUGGACUUUAUGUCUUUGCACUGGGGAGCCCUACGACUGUGGGAAGUGUCUGUAUACUGGAGAACUCCUGAUUUGUCUGGGGGCGUGUUUCUCGUGCUGGACUUCACGUCUCUGCACUGGGGAGCCCUACAAAUAGUGAGAGCGUGGCCCUCGUAGGGGCCGUACACGGAGCAGCCCCCAUUUCGGCUGAGGUGUGGCUUUCUCGUGCUGGACUUCACGUCUUUGCACUGCGGAGCCCUACAAUUGUGGGAGCGUGGCCUCUUUUUGAUUAUUAUUAUUUUGACAUUUCUAGCCCGCUCUUCUUCCCAGGAGCCCAAAGUGGUGUACUGCAUACUUGUUUCCCCCCCGUCCCACAACAACCCUGUGAGUAGGUUAGGCUGAGAGAGAAGCGACUGGCCCAGAGUCACCCAGCUAGUAGCAUGGCUGAAUGGGGAUUUGGACUCGAGUCUCCCCGGUCCUAGUAAACUAGGGAACCCCUGAUUUGGCUGUGGUGCCGGUUUCACGUGCUGGACUUCACGUCUUUGCACUGGGGAGCCCUACAAUGGUAAGAGUAUGGCCAUCGUAGUGGCUGUAUACUGGGGAACCCCGAUUUGGCCGGAGAGCGGCUUUCUCAUGCUGGACUUCAUGCUGGACUGGCACUGGGGAGCCCCAAAAGAGGUGGGAGUAUGUCCUCCUCAGACGAGCCUGAGUGUCUGUAUGCUGCGUGGCUGCUCGUUUAUCCCCAGGGUGCCGUUCCUCGCUGCGUGACUUCGCCCUUCAUCUUGCAAGUGGUGAUGAGUUGGCAUCUCCCAACUGCCCCGUCCCUAGUCUUCAGCUUGGCGCGCCCUGCCCACGGAGAAAGCCAGGGACGGUGGAAGUGCGGCAUCCAUGACCCCUUCAAGCAGCGUGGUGUGCCGAGGAGCGGGCCCUGCUGGCUGGCUGAAGAAGGCACACGAAGGCAACGGGGGAGCAAGGACAGAAGAAAGAGGUGCAGAAGGAGGAAGAGGAACAAGCAGGAAGGCGCCAGCGGAGGAGACGUGAAAAGAAGCAGGAGGAGACCGGCUCUCCAGGAGCUUAGCAGAAGAAACGGGCAGGCUGUGCUUCCACCGGGCGGACGGCUUCAUUUCGCUCCCUCUCUCGGCCACUGAUCACUCUGCGUGGGGCUGCAGCUGGCCCUGCAGCGUGGCAUUCCUGGUGCUGGACUUCAUGUCUUUGCACUCAGGAGCCCUGACAGGGGUGGGAGUGCGGCCUCCUCAGGCCGCCCUGAAUCUCUCUGCACCGAGUCCCUUGCCAUUGGGUGGGAGGUGGCUUGCUCCUGCUGGACCUGAAGUAUGUGUGCUGAGCCGCCCCUGGAUGGGACUGGGGGUAUUGCUUUUUCGCGCCACUGCUUUCUGUAUGUGCGCUGAGCUGCCCCUGGGUAGGCUGGCCUGGGGGUGUUGCUUCCUCGCGCCGAGCCUUAGAGGUAUGUGCGCUGAGCCGCCCCUGGUCGGGGCUGGGGGCGUUAGCUUUCUCACGCCGAGCUUGAUGCCAUGUGCGCUGAGCCUGCCCCUGGCUGGGCUCAGCUUGGGGGUGUUGCUUCCUCUCGCGCCGAGCCUUCGGGUAUGUGCGCUGAGCCGCCCCGGGCUGGGGCUGGGAGCGUUGCUUUGUGCUGCCAGGCCUUAUGUCUCUGCACUGAGCCGCCCCAGUGAGGGCUGGGGGCGUUGCUUCCUCUCGCCACGAGCUUCACGUCUUUGCUCUGAGAAGCCCCUCAUUUGGCCAGGGGGUGGCUCUCUCCAAGCCUUGCUGCCUGACUUUGCCCUUCAUGCUCCCAGUGGUGUUGAGCUGGCCACUCCGGCCUGCCCACGGAGCAAGCUCGGGACGGUAGAAGUGUGGCCUCCCGGACCUUUUCCAGCAGCAGCAGCAGCCUCUGCUGGCUGAAGGCACACGCCUGACGCUUGGUGUGCUCACGCUCCUCCUUGGCUUGGGCUCUUGCGUGAGCAGGGCUGCUCCUCAAGAAGGCCUUCUGAAGAGGGAAAAGAGUCAAGAGCUGCGAGAAGCUGAUCUCUUGCCUUGGGAGGCAAAGGAGAGAAAGGGCAGAAGAAAGAAGUGCCGCAGGCUGGCGAAAGAGAAGCCGCAAGGAGCAACAGGAGGAGACCUGGACGGGGAAGAAGGAGGCGGAGAAGACUGGCUCUCAAGCAGCUUCACAGAAGGAAGAAGGGGGAGAUUCCGCUCCCACCAGCUGGAGGGCCUCAUUGCUGCCCUUCUCUCUGCUCUCUCUCCCUGAGUGGAGGAUGAUUUACCUGGAGCCUGGCUGCUUCGGGAGGCUUAGGAUGUCCCUGCCCUGAGUAGCCACUGGUUUGGGAGGGGCGUGGACAGAACAGGAUGGACUCGGUGUCCAUCCGCUCAGUGGCCCUUUCUUGAACUGGGCUGCGGCUUUCUCGUGCUGGACUUCAUGUCUCUGCACUUGGGGAGCCCUACAAAUAGUGAGAGGGUGGCCCUCAUAGGGGCCAUCCAAGGGGCAGCCCCUAUUUCAGCUGAGGUGUGGCUUUCUUGGGCUGGACUUUAUGUCUUUGCACUGGGGAGCCCUACGACUGUGGGAAGUGUCUGUAUACUGGAGAACUGAUUUGUCUGGGGGCGUGUUUCUCGUGCUGGACUUCACGUCUCUGCACUGGGGAGCCCUACAAAUAGUGAGAGGGUGGCCCUUGUAGGGGCCGUACACGGAGCAGCCCCCAUUUCGGCUGAGGUGUGGCUUUCUCGUGCUGGACUUCACGUCUUUGCACUGUGGAGCCCUACAAUUGUGGGAGCGUGGCCUCUUUUUGAUUAUUAUUAUUUUGACAUUUCUAGCCCGCUCUUCUUCCCAGGAGCCCAAAGCGGUGUACUGCAUACUUGUUUCCCCCCCCGUCCCACAACAACCCUGUGAGUAGGUUAGGCUGAGAGAGAAGCGACUGGCCCAGAGUCACCCAGCUAGUAGCAUGGCUGAAUGGGGAUUUGGACUCGAGUCUCCCCGGUCCUAGUAAACUAGGGAACCCCUGAUUUGGCUGUGGUGCCGGUUUCACGUGCUGGACUUCACGUCUUUGCACUGGGGAGCCCUACAAUGGUAAGAGUAUGGCCAUCGUAGUGGCUGUAUACUGGGGACCCCCGAUUUGGCUGGGGAGCGGCUUUCUCAUGCUGGACUUCACGUCCUGGCCCUGGGGAGCCCCGAAAGCGGUGGGAGUAUGUCCUCCCCAGACGAGCCUGAGUGUCUGUAUGCUGCGUGGCUGCUCAUUUAUCCGCAGGGUGCCGUUCCUCGCUGCGUGACUUUGCCCUUCAUCUUGCGAGUGGUGAUGAGUUGGCAUCUCCCAACUGCCCCGUCCCUAGUCUUCAGCUUGGCGCGCCCUGCCCACGGAGAAAGCCAGGGAUGGUGGAAGUGCGGCAUCCAUGACCCCUUCAAGCAGCGUGGUGUGCCGAGGAGCGGGCCCUGCUGGCUGGCUGAAGAAGGCACACGAAGGCAACGGGGGAGCAAGGACAGAAGAAAGAGGUGCAGGAGGAGGAAGAGGAACAAGCAGGAAGGCGCCAGCGGAGGAGACGUGAAAAGAAGCAGGAGGAGACCGGCUCUCCAGGAGCUUAGCAGAAGAAACGGGCAGGCUGUGCUUCCACCGGGCGGACGGCUUCAUUUCGCUCCCUCUCUCGGCCACUGAUCACUCUGCGUGGGGCUGCAGCUGGCCCUGCAGCGUGGCAUUCCUGGUGCUGGACUUCAUGUCUUUGCACUCAGGAGCCCUGACGGGGUGGGAGUGCGGCCUUCUCAGGCCGCCCUGAAUCUCUCUGCACCGAGUCCCUUGCCAUUGGGUGGGAGGUGGCUUGCUCCUGCUGGACCUGAAGUAUGUGUGCUGAGCCGCCCCUGGAUGGGACUGGGGGUAUUGCUUUUUCGCGCCACUGCUUUCUGUAUGUGCGCUGAGCUGCCCCUGGGUAGGCUGGCCUGGGGGUGUUGCUUCCUCGCGCCGAGCCUUAGAGGUAUGUGCGCUGAGCCGCCCCUGGUCGGGGCUGGGGGCGUUAGCUUUCUCACGCCGAGCUUGAUGCCAUGUGCGCUGAGCCUGCCCCUGGCUGGGCUCAGCUUGGGGGUGUUGCUUCCUCUCGCGCCGAGCCUUCGGGUAUGUGCGCUGAGCCGCCCCGGGCUGGGGCUGGGAGCGUUGCUUUGUGCUGCCAGGCCUUAUGUCUCUGCACUGAGCCGCCCCAGUGAGGGCUGGGGGCGUUGCUUCCUCUCGCCACGAGCUUCACGUCUUUGCUCUGAGAAGCCCCUCAUUUGGCCAGGGGGUGGCUCUCUCCAAGCCUUGCUGCCUGACUUUGCCCUUCAUGCUCCCAGUGGUGUUGAGCUGGCCACUCCGGCCUGCCCACGGAGCAAGCUCGGGACGGUAGAAGUGUGGCCUCCCGGACCUCUUCCAGCAGCAGCAGCAGCCUCUGCUGGCUGAAGGCACACGCCUGACGCUUGGUGUGCUCACGCUCCUCCUUGGCUUGGGCUCUUGCGUGAGCAGGGCUGCUCCUCAAGAAGGCCUUCUGAAGAGGGAAAAGAGUCAAGAGCUGCGAGAAGCUGAUCUCUUGCCUUGGGAGGCAAAGGAGAGAAAGGGCAGAAGAAAGAAGUGCCGCAGGCUGGCGAAAGAGAAGCCGCAAGGAGCAACAGGAGGAGACCUGGACGGGGAAGAAGGAGGCGGAGAAGACUGGCUCUCAAGCAGCUUCACAGAAGGAAGAAGGGGGAGAUUCCGCUCCCACCAGCUGGAGGGCCUCAUUGCUGCCCUUCUCUCUGCUCUGUCCCCCUGAGUAGCCACUGGUUUGGGAGGGGCGUGGACAGAACAGGAUGGACUCGGUGUCCAUCCGCUCAGUGGCCCUUUCUUGAACUGGGCUGCGGCUUUCUCGUGCUGGACUUCAUGUCUCUGCACUUGGGGAGCCCCACAAAUAGUGAGAGGGUGGCCCUCAUAGGGGCCAUCCAAGGGGCAGCCCCUAUUUCAGCUGAGCUGUGGCUUUCUCGGGCUGGACUUUAUGUCUUUGCACUGGGGAGCCCUACGACUGUGGGAAGUGUCUGUAUACUGGAGAACUCCUGAUUUGUCUGGGGGCGUGUUUCUCGUGCUGGACUUCACGUCUUUGCACUGGGGAGCCCUACAAAUAGUGAGAGGGUGGCCCUCAUAGGGGGCAGCCCCUAUUUCAGCUGAGGUGUGGCUUUCUCGGGCUGGACUUUAUGUCUUUGCACUGGGGAGCCCUACGACUGUGGGAAGUGUCUGUAUACUGGAGAACUCCUGAUUUGUCUGGGGGCGUGUUUCUCGUGCUGGACUUCACGUCUCUGCACUGGGGAGCCCUACAAAUAGUGAGAGGGUGGCCCUCGUAGGGGCCGUACACGGAGCAGCCCCCAUUUCGGCUGAGGUGUGGCUUUCUCGUGCUGGACUUCACGUCUUUGCACUGCGGAGCCCUACAAUUGUGGGAGCGUGGCCUCUUUUUGAUUAUUAUUAUUUUGACAUUUCUAGCCCGCUCUUCUUCCCAGGAGCCCAAAGCGGUGUACUGCAUACUUGUUUCCCCCCCUCCCACAACAACCCUGUGAGUAGGUUAGGCUGAGAGAGAAGCGACUGGCCCAGAGUCACCCAGCUAGUAGCAUGGCUGAAUGGGGAUUUGGACUCGAGUCUCCCCGGUCCUAGUAAACUAGGGAACCCCUGAUUUGGCUGUGGUGCCGGUUUCACGUGCUGGACUUCACGUCUUUGCACUGGGGAGCCCUACAAUGGUAAGAGUAUGGCCAUCGUAGUGGCUGUAUACUGGGGACCCCCGAUUUGGCCGGGGAGCGGCUUUCUCAUGCUGGACUUCACGUCCUGGCCCUGGGGAGCCCCGAAAGCGGUGGGAGUAUGUCCUCCCCAGACGAGCCUGAGUGUCUGUAUGCUGCGUGGGGGCGUGUUUCUCGUGCUGGACUUCACGUCUCUGCACUGGGGAGCCCUACAAAUAGUGAGAGGGUGGCCCUUGUAGGUGCCGUACAUGGAGCAGCCCCCAUUUCGCCUGAGGUGUGGCUUUCUCGUGCUGGACUUUAUGUCUUUGCACUGGGGAGCCCUACAACUGUGGGAGCGUGGCCUUCUUGGUGUCUGUAUACUGGAGAAGCCCUGAUUUGUCUGGGGGGCGUGUUUCUCAUGUUGGACUUCACGUCUUUGCACUGUCUGUCUUAGUGGCCAUACAGUGGGUUUCGGGUAUCACUUUUUCCAAUUGGAUUUUACAUUUUUUUCUUUGUAUUUUACAUUUCAAUGUCUGGGGGAGCUUCAAUCCUGGUUAUAUGACUUUGCUCUUCUUUUUCUGAAUGGUGAUGAAGUGGUACCUCCGGCCUUGCGUGGUACGACAGUAGGGGUGCGACAUUUCUGACCUCUUCAAGCCGCGUGGUAUGCUGAGCACGCUCUGCUGGCUGAAAGCACACGAGAAUAAGAGAAAAAUUGAAGGAACAACUGCAGAACAAGGAGAAAGAACAUCAGAAAGUCCCAACAGGAGCCCUGAAGACUAACUGGAGAAGUGGGAGGAGAAGACCGGAUAACAAGAAGCAGGAGAGAAGAAACAGGCAGGCUCCCUCCUCGGAGCUGACUGCCUCCUUCACGACUGAGUAGCAAUUCUGUCACAUAGAAAUAUCCCCACAUUGCUGUGAGCCUGUUUCAACCCAAGAUGGCGACCAUCUCCAAAGGACUUCACUUUUUGGUGGCGUCUAAAUAUUGGCACAGCCCUGUGAAUCUGCUUGGCCUGUCAGCUGGUGGGGGUCUCAAAAGAGCGGCAUGCUUGAGGGGCAGUUUUCUGGCAGUUCAGUCUUCAUGCCUGACCCUGUGUCUCGGCUGCUUCCUGCUCUGAGAAAUCCCCAAGGUACUUGGAGUGUGGUUUUCUUCAUUCCUGGCUUGAUAUCUCUGCUUCAGAUUGCUCAGAGCCUCCACUGAGAUGUCUGGAGAGCCACUGGCCUUGGGUGUGUCCAGGGUUUUAUCCUAGAUGGCUUCUCUGCCCCCCAUUAUUUCUGUGUGCUGCUUGCAAUAUUGUUUAAAUACAAACUUAAAAUAUGUUAGAAACUAAAACAAAAAUAGCUGUUGCAUAGGAUAACAUCUAAAAGGAUAGGAUCAAACCUAAAAAGAAUAAACAAGUGUAGUAUAAUAUAAGUAGGAUAACAUCUAAAAGAUUAGGAUAAAAUCUAAAAAGGUUCAACAAGUGUAGUAUAAUAUAAGACAUACAGAUCUAUUAACUUAAUUAGGAAGGCUAAUAGGAACUAAAAUGAAGCAUUUUCAACGUAGAUUAGAUAUUCUAGACCAACUAGUGUAUUAAAAUAAUAUUCAAAGCAGCAUAUGGGAAUGGUGAGAAAAAGCACUUUGCUACUGAAAGUCUGAAAGGCCAGAACCCAUCCACCACUCGCUCAUGUAGCUCUUCCGUGGCUCCGAGUCUCUUCCUGCUAGCAUCUUACAGACUAUUCCCCCUUUGAUGCAAAGAUGGGUGCUUGGGCAAUUUGAUGUAGAAAUGAAGAUCAAUAUUGUCUUUGUGUAGCUUUGCUUACUGACAGGCUUAUAGGAUGCUGAAGAGGGUAUUUCUGUCAAGCACCCAGAACUGAUUCUUAUUUCAAGUUGUUUUAACCUGUGUUUUUUUGUAAAUGGCCCAGAGCCAUGAGGUUUGCUAAAUAAAAAACUCUCCGUAUUGUC